GCCUGAGAUGGAAAUGUUACGCCUCUUAACAUAAGUGUGAAGCCUUGUCCGGCCAGAGCGACGAGACAAAAACAUAAAACCCAUUAUAAAUGUGAUAUAAACAUGAUUUCUAGUCAUGCUUGGGAACAGUGCAGCAGGCGGAUUCUUUGAAGGAGCGUACCUUGGUCUUGCAGCAACCACAUGUGACGACCUCGGGCCGCUUUGUCCGCAGUGAAACCUUAUUUGGCGAUCCACAAUGCAAAGUUGAUGUAUUUCCUCAGCGACCAGCAUUGAUCAGCUCCAGGCAUGACAAAGCGGAUAUCGACCUCCUUUGGAAUGCCAAACAAAGUAGGUUCGCUUUCACAGUGAAACACACAGUGUCUAUAUGACAUGGCGGCAGCGGCAACAAUACUACAACGACAAUAAAAGGUAAGCCUACUUUAUUUGCAUGAACAUCUGGGCGGCGUUAUGCAAAUCUUCCCACACACUGACGUAGAUAAGAAUUUCAGGGGGCGAAGGUUAGAUCAGCAGCAUUUGAGUGAUACAUCUCCACCUUGGUCAGGGUCCAUUAAACUCCUCUUCUGACCCAGUAAUUACCCCUAUCUGGAGACAAGGUCAGAAGGCGAGUGUGGCUACCUAUACACCACCUCAGAAAAGCCAGGACUCGAGGCAGCGAUCUUGCAAAAACUUAAGAAGGAUCUUAGACAAGUCAUCUUGGCCAAUAUGCAAUCUUUUCAACUGUGCAAUCGCAGACGGCUCGUAAGCAGAUCCUAACAGCCAAUCCGUUUAAUGCGUAAUGUGUGUUUGGAAUCAGGUUAAUAUUUUCUUCUUUUGCCAAUGAAGAAGGUUUCCACAGAAUGUAGAAACAUUUCAUAAAACCUUUCUGCAAUGAAGCAAACAUGAGGCCAUUAGAAAGACUUUAUUUAUUGUUUAUUGACAUUUUCAGCAACAUUUCAGGUACUUAAUGACGUUACUCCAAACCCACUUAACGUAGGUUUACUACUUAAAAAAACCUACUUAAAGUAGGUUUGGAGUAGGUCAAAUUUUGACUGUCUAUGACUGAAAGUAAUUCGUUCUAUGUGCUUUUGAAGAGACACUUACAUCUUGUGCAGGCGAGGUGUUACUUCACUUUUUUAUUUUUAGUUUGUACUACGUGUGUAUCUCUAUUGCUUUAGUAACAUGAUGCUACUCCACAGGACUUAAGAAAUAAUGCUCAAUUUAAUAAAAUUUAGACAAACUGUUUUACAUAUUUGUUUUUAUUUUGCAUCAAGUGUUUUUAAUCCGUUUCUUUUUCAACUUUGAUCUGUUUUUUUAACUGUAGUAUCCGCUGACUUUUGAGGUUUGAAUUGAGGAUUGUCAGUUGCUUCAAGAAGCCUAUGUUGGGCCUGAUGUCUCUCGCCUCCAUGACAUGGUCAAUGGCAUCCUCCACCAUCAUGUCAUGGCUUUUCUUGCUUGGAAUUUCAGACAAGACCUUCAAGCUCUUCUCCACUGCCGCAGCAUUCAGGAUGUUUGAAUUGAGGGUUAUCAGCUGCUUCAAGAAGUCCCUGUUUGGCCUGAUCCAUCUCUUGUCUAUGACGUGGUCGAUGGCAUCCUCCAACAACAUUUCAUGGUGGAUCAUCAGGACCUUGUGGAUGAAUUCUGAAGCUGGGAAUAAGUCCUUGCUGAUGUCAAACCUGUGUUCAUCCGUUACAAGCACGCCGUAGUUCAGGACCAUUUGGACCUGCGACACACAACUGAUGUGCAUCAACCAGCUCUACUCCAGCUUCUGCUUCAGGAUCUGGGACACGAUGUGCAACAACCAGAUCUACUUCAGCUUCUGCUUCAGGAUCUGGGACACGAUGUGAAUCAACCAGAUCUACUUCAGCUUCUGCUUCAGGAUCUGGGACACGAUGUGAAUCAACCAGUUCUACUUCAGCUUCUGCUUCAGGAUCUGGGACACGAUGUGCAACAACCAGCUCUACUUCAGCUUUUGCUUCAGGAUCUGGGACACACGAUGGCUCUGGAUCAGGCUGUGCUGGGAUCUCAAUAGGCUCCACUCUGCUUUUCUGGAAGGAU